UACAGAGGGUGCGAGCGUUGUCCGGAAUCAUUGGGCGUAAAGGGCGCGUAGGUGGCCUGCUAAGCGUGCGGUGAAAGUCGGGGGCUCAACCCCCGAUCGGCCGUGCGAACUGGGAGGCUUGAGCACUGUAGAGGCAGGCGGAAUUCCGGGUGUAGCGGUGGAAUGCGUAGAGAUCCGGAAGAACACCGGUGGCGAAGGCGGCCUGCUGGGCAGUUUUGCUGACACUGAGGCGCGACAGCGUGGGGAGCAAACAGG
rnacentral:rRNA from 1 species